rnacentral:rRNA from 1 species
CCUACGGGAUGCAGCAGUGGGGAAUAUUGGACAAUGGGGGAAACCCUGAUCCAGCGACGCCGCGUGAGUGAAGAAGUAUUUCGGUACGUAAAGCUCUAUCAGCAGGGAAGAAAAUGACGGUUACCGACUAAGAAGCCCCGGCUAAAUACGUGCCAGCAGCCCCGGUAAUACGUAGGGGGCCAGAGUUUUACGGAUUUACGGGGUGUAAAGGGAGCGUAGGCGGCAGCGGAAGUCUGGAGUGAAAUGCCGGGGCCCAACCCCGGAACUGCUCAGGAAACUGGGAAGGUGGAGGGCAGGAGAGGUAAGCGGAAUUCCUGGUGUAGCGGUGAAAUGCGUAGAUAUCAGGAGGAACACCAGCGGCGAAGGCGGCUUACUGGACUGUAACUGACGUUGAGGCUCGAAGGCGUGGGGAGCAAACAGGAUUAGAUACCCCAGUAGUC